AGCGGCGGACGGGUGAGUAACACGUGGGUAACCUGCCCAAGAGACUGGGAUAACACCUGGAAACAGAUGCUAAUACCGGAUAACAACACUAGACGCAUGUCUAGAGUUUGAAAGAUGGUUCUGCUAUCACUCUUGGAUGGACCUGCGGUGCAUUAACUAGUUGGUAAGGUAACGGCUUACCAAGGCAAUGAUGCAUAGCCGAGUUGAGAGACUGAUCGGCCACAUUGGGACUGAGACACGGCCCAAACUCCUACGGGAGGCAGCAGUAGGGAAUCUUCCACAAUGGACGAAAGUCUGAUGGAGCAGCGCCGCGUGAGUGAAGAAGGGUUUCGGCCCAUAAAGCUCUGUUGGUAGUGAAGAAAGAUAGAGGUAGUAACUGGCCUUUAUUUGACGGUAAUUACUUAGAAAGUCACGGCUAACUACGUGCCAGCAGCCGCGGUAAUACGUAGGUGGCAAGCGUUGUCCGGAUUUAUUGGGCGUAAAGCGAGUGCAGGCGGUUCAGUAAGUCUGAUGUGAAAGCCUUCGGCUCAACCGGAGAAUUGCAUCAGAAACUGUUGAACUUGAGUGCAGAAGAGGAGAGUGGAACUCCAUGUGUAGCGGUGGAAUGCGUAGAUAUAUGGAAGAACACCAGUGGCGAAGGCGGCUCUCUGGUCUGCAACUGACGCUGAGGCUCGAAAGCAUGGGUAGCGAACAGGAUUAGAUACCCUGGUAGUCCAUGCCGUAAACGAUGAGUGCUAAGUGU
rnacentral:rRNA from 1 species